AGAGUUUGAUCCUGGCUCAGGACGAACGCUGGCGGCGCGCCUAACACAUGCAAGUCGAACGAGCGAGAGAGAGCUUGCUUUCUCGAGCGAGUGGCGAACGGGUGAGUAACGCGUGAGGAACCUGCCUCAAAGAGGGGGACAACAGUUGGAAACGACUGCUAAUACCGCAUAAGCCCACGGGUCGGCAUCGACCAGAGGGAAAAGGAGCAAUCCGCUUUGAGAUGGCCUCGCGUCCGAUUAGCUAGUUGGUGAGGUAAUGGCCCACCAAGGCGACGAUCGGUAGCCGGACUGAGAGGUUGAACGGCCACAUUGGGACUGAGACACGGCCCAGACUCCUACGGGAGGCAGCAGUGGGGAAUAUUGCACAAUGGGGGAAACCCUGAUGCAGCGACGCCGCGUGGAGGAAGAAGGUCUUCGGAUUGUAAACUCCUGUUGUUAGGGAAGAUAAUGACGGUACCCAACAAGGAAGUGACGGCUAACUACGUGCCAGCAGCCGCGGUAAAACGUAGGUCACAAGCGUUGUCCGGAAUUACUGGGUGUAAAGGGAGCGCAGGCGGGAAGACAAGUUGGAAGUGAAAUCUAUGGGCUCAACCCAUAAACUGCUUUCAAAACUGUUUUUCUUGAGUAGUGCGGAGGUAGGCGGAAUUCCCGGUGUAGCGGUGGAAUGCGUAGAUAUCGGGAGGAACACCAGUGGCGAAGGCGGCCUACUGGGCACCAACUGACGCUGAGGCUCGAAAGUGUGGGUAGCAAACAGGAUUAGAUACCCUGGUAGUCCACACCGUAAACGAUGAUAGAUAGGUAUGAGAAAAAUUGACCCCUUCAGUACCGCAGUUAACACAAUAAAGUAAUCCGCGGGGGGAGUACGACCGCAAGGUUGAAACUCAAAGGAAUUGGAGGGGGCCCGCACAAGCAGUGGAGUAUGUGGUUUAAUUUGACGCAACGCGAAGAACCUUACCAAGUCUUGACAUCCUGCGACGGUGCUGGAAACAGUACUUUCCUUCGGGACGCAGAGACAGGUGGUGCAUGGUUGUUGUCAGCUCGUGUCGUGAGAUGUUGGGUUAAGUCCCGCAACGAGCGCAACCCUUAUGGUCAGUUACUACGCAAGAGGACUCUGGCCAGACUGCCGUUGACAAAACGGAGGAAGGUGGGGAUGACGUCAAAUCAUCAUGCCCUUUAUGACUUGGGCUACACACGUACUACAAUGGCGUUAAACAAAGAGAAGCAAGACCGCGAGGUGGAGCAAAACUCAGAAACAACGUCCCAGUUCGGACUGCAGGCUGCAACUCGCCUGCACGAAGUCGGAAUUGCUAGUAAUCGCAGAUCAGCAUGCUGCGGCGAAUACGUUCCCGGGCCUUGUACUCACCGCCCGUCA
rnacentral:rRNA from 1 species